rnacentral:tRNA from 1 species
UGGGGAAUCGUCUAGUGGUAGGACAGCGGGUUCUGGACCCGUAAGGGUAGGUUCGAAUCCUACUUCCCCAGCCA